rnacentral:piRNA from 1 species
UAAUAAGAGGAACCGAAGCUAAGGAGAAA